ensembl:lncRNA TRAF3IP2-AS1 TRAF3IP2 antisense RNA 1
CUCAUGGAUGGGCUCCGAGGGGCUUGCGGGAGGGGGGCGCCAGUGUUCGGGGCCGUUUUGGCGGCUAUGCAGGAUUGGCAGGAGCUGCGAUGCUCACACUUGCCUCGCCGACCGCCAUUUCACAUCCAGCAGAGGAGGCGGGGGCAGCCGCUGAGACGGUUUUUCACAAGGAAAUGACCUCAUUCUUGAUGGCUGCUGCUAACUUAUGGUGAGAUGCUGGGUCCCUGCCCAAUACCACAUGGACAUCCAAUCAAUUUACCCAGGGACAAGUCCACUCAAGAGCAUCAUUUAGAAGAGGGAAAAGGCACUGGGGUUAUUUGUUUUUGGAGUAUGUGCUUAAGGAAAUCUAGAGUAUUCCCACGAGCAUUCUGCUGAGAUGAACAAUCAGAUGACCUCGUGUGAGAUUUGGAGGAGAGAAGGAAAUGGAGAGCAUGCGUCUGCCGCUUCUGUGGUUUCUGUCGGUAAGCACAGUGAUGAGGUGCUGAGUUUUCCCCAGAAGGCCUCCCAGUGUCCUAUUACCAGCUUCACAAGCGUCGAGGGCAGGGCAUGGGCAUCUAUUGUUCACCAGUGGAGAUCUAUCUGGCACAGAACCGAUCCAACCAUUGCAGUGGUCACAGCGGUGUUGGCUUUCUGAUUCUCAACCUUCCUGACCGCCAGAGGAGACAGCCUCUUUGGUGGCCCUGUUCUGUGGUAUUGUGCUAACCGGUGGUGGGACUAAAACUGUCUCUAUAAUGUUUUAUUUCUUAAAAAAAAAUUCUGAAGCAAAUGUGACAAUAUGUUAACAUUCUUAAAAUCUGGGUAGUGGGAACAUGGAUGUUGUUAUUUGUGGUGUGUUUGAAAUUGUGUCAUAUUAUAAAUUUUAAAAAAAUGUUUUGACUACAAAAUCUCUAUGUAUAUGCCCAGUUUUUGUAGAUUGUUGCUUACGCUUUUCAUAUUUUUACCCAAGGAGUAAUCAGGAAUUCUAAAAGUCUUAUGUAACAGGAUUUAAAAUAAAAUUACACAGAAUCUCAACUGUACUAUAUUUUGAAAAUAUGAAUGAUUAAGAUUAUUUUUUAUAUUUUUAUUAAUAUAGAGAAAAUAAUUUCUAUAAAAUAUGCUUUCAGCUAAUGGGGGAUCCCAUUCCAUAUUUUUUUCUUUUUCUUUUUUUUUUUUAUUUCUCCAAGAAAAACUCAUUCCAGUUCUUUUGCAUUAAAUUCUCUUAUACCAAAAAAAUUGUUUCAAAAGUUGCUUAGUUGUUAUAGAAGAUGAUUGCUUAUAUGAUAAAGAAAUGUUAAGGCCUUGAUAAUAUUCAAAAGCUUCUGUAUAAAAACAAUACCAUGGAAAUUAAUGACAGAGUAAACUUUCUGAAUUAAAGUUCUCUUUCAAACUAUGAGUAAGAGGAGAAUUAGCUGGCUUCUUUUUUCUUUUUUUUGAGGCAGGGUCUUGCUCUGUCACCCAGGCUCAAUCACAGCUCACUGCAGCCUUGACCUCCUGGGCUCAGGUGAUUUUCCCACCUUAGCCUCCUGAGUAGCUGGGACCACAGGCAUGAGCCACCACACCUGGCUAAUUUUUGUAUUAUUUUGGUAGAGAUGGGAUUUCGCCAUGUUGCCCAAGCUGGUCACAAACUUCCUGCCUUGGCCUCCCAAAGUGCUGGGAUUACAGGCAUGAGCCACUAUGCCCAACCUCAGUUGGAUGGGUUUGUGUGUAUGUGUGUGUGUGUUUUGUUUGUUUUUUAGUUUUUGAGACAGAGUCUCACUCUGUCACCCAGGCUGGAGUGCAGUGGCACAAUCACGGCUCACUGCAGCCAUGACCUCUUGUGCUCAGGCAGUUCUCCUGCCUCAGCCUCCUUAGUAGCUGGAACCACAGGUAUGUGCCACCACACCCGGCUAAUUUUUGUAUUUUUUUGUAGAGAUGGGUUUUCGCUAUGUUGCCCAGGCUGGUCUCAAAUUCCUGGGCUCAAACAAUCCACCCACCUCUGCCUCCCAAAGUGCUGGGAUUACAGGUGUGAGCCACCAAGCCCAGCCUAGCUCCUCUACCUGAACUUAUUUUUCAUUAUCCUAAAGUGAUAAAAUAGAUCAAGAAGAUCAGAACAGGCUUAAAUUGAUGCUAUAAAACCAAUUACUCUGUAUUAUCUUUGCAACUCUUUUGUAAGUCUAAAAUUGUUUGAAAAUAAAAGUUUAUUUUAAAAAUUA